UGGGGAAUAUUGCACAAUGGGCGAAAGCCUGAUGCAGCAACGCCGCGUGAGUGAUGAAGGCCUUCGGGUUGUAAAGCUCUGUCUUUUGGGACGAUAAUGACGGUACCAAAGGAGGAAGCCACGGCUAACUACGUGCCAGCAGCCGCGGUAAUACGUAGGUGGCAAGCGUUGUCCGGAUUUACUGGGCGUAAAGGAUGCGUAGGCGGAUUUUUAAGUGAGAUGUGAAAUACCCGGGCUUAACUUGGGUGCUGCAUUUCAAACUGGGAAUCUAGAGUGCGGGAGAGGAGAAUGGAAUUCCUAGUGUAGCGGUGAAAUGCGUAGAGAUUAGGAAGAACACCAGUGGCGAAAGGCGAUUCUCUGGACCGUAACUGACGCUGAGGCAUGAAAGCGUGGGUAGCAAACAGGAUUAGAUACCCUGGUAGUCCACGCCGUAAACGAUGAGUACUAGGUGUA
rnacentral:rRNA from 1 species